rnacentral:rRNA from 1 species
UACGGGGGGGGCAAGCGUUGUUCGGAAUUACUGGGCGUAAAGGGCUCGUAGGUGGCCAACUAAGUCGGACGUGAAAUCCCACGGCUCAACCGUGGAACUGCUGGGCAUACUGCGGGUCUUGGGCCAACUAGGGGCAGCCGGAACAAGCGGUGGAGCGGUGAAAUGCGUAGAUAUCGCUUGGAACGCCGAAGGUGAAAACAGGCUGCUGGGGUUGCGCCGACGCUGAGACACGAAAGCCAGGGGAGCAAACGGG